AAACAUAAAUACGUACCUGAAUGUACAUAUGUAUAUUCAUAUAUGUAUGUAGUUCAGUUUAACUUGUAAGGACACUCAUAUCCUUUUUGAGCUCAACAAAUUUAACAGUUGUAAACAAUGUUGGUUUUAUCAGUUUACCGUUUUAAUUUAAACAACUAUUGUCCGCAAUAGAAAUCAAGAUAUCGCCCACCAACAACUGACAAAUCGACAACCACAAUCAACAGCUAUUCAACGGUGAAACAUACAACGCCACCACAACUACCGCUUACCUCCAUCAACGCCAACACCGCCAACACCGCCAAUACCGCCGUCAGUGCCUUCACCGCCAACUGUAUAGAAUUACCAAUUUGCAAUAAAAAGCAAAAUCGAGCAAUACGAAAAACCUAUAAAAGGAAACAAUCACUAUUUGGUAGACAAAUACGAGUCAACAAACAACAAUAACGGAAAAGACUUGCAGACACUACAUCGAAAUCCCGUGUAUGGAAGAUUACGAUAGCAAUAAUUCGCUUCUCGUUAUGGUAGGAUUGAUCUGAUCCGUGCAUCCUGUGCAUACGGACGGGAGUUGGCUGUUAAACCUUAAAUUUUUUCAAGAAUCUGAUUAGCAUUACAUUAACUACUUAAAAAAAUGGUUACUUAAAUUAAAAUAUUAAUUCCAACUAAACCCACAUACGACGACAUUUCUCGUAAAUGAAUGCUUUUUGUAGUUUCCCCUAAAGAAAACGAUAGAUUAAUAAACGAUUGUAUUAAAGAGCAUUAUUUGAAUAUGGUGUUCAGCUGCCGUUGGCUGCAAUCUCGACGCAUUUCUGUGAAGCCACGAUCAGGGUUCGUUUACAUGGAGAUCGAUGAAAUUUUGCUGUUUUUCAUUAUGAUUAUUUUUUGUGUAAGUUUAUUCUU